rnacentral:rRNA from 1 species
AUGUGCGGGAACCUGUCAUCUAUUUCUUCGAACUUCUGGUGGGGUGAAGCAGAUGGUCAUAAGAAGGUGCACUGGAUCGGCUGGGAUAAGAUGUGCACGAGAAAGCAUGAAGGGGGUCUAGGCUUCCGGGAUCCGGAAUCUUUCAACCAAGCUAUGCUUGCCAAACAGUCUUGGCGCUUUCUACAGGUGCCAGACACGCUGUGUGGAAGGGUUUUGAAGGCACGGUACUUCUUCGACGGAUCAAUUUUAAAUGCUAGGUGCCGUGGUGGGGGGUCUUACACCUUUAGGAGCAUCUUGCACGACCGUGAUCUGCUCCUUGAUGGCCUAAUUUGGCGAAUUGGUGACGGCUCUCAAGUCAAGAUCCAUCAUGAUAACUGGUUACCAAUGAGGGGUAGCCUGAGGCCACUGGGCCAACGAUCAAUUGAGGGCUUUACUCGCACGUCGGUGACCUGUUGGGUGCCGACGGCCUCUCUUGGGACAGGAGCAAGGUGUUGGCGAUGUUCGCCCCGGACGAAGCACAGGAAAUCUUACAAAUUCCUGUUGGUGGGCCGGGGUUCAAGAUUACCAAGCAUGGAAUUAUACUAA